rnacentral:rRNA from 1 species
GGAGUUUGGACCGUGUCUCAGUUCCAAUGUGGGGGACCUUCCUCUCAGAACCCCUACUGAUCGAUGGCUCGGUGGGCCGUUACCCCGCCGACUACCUAAUCAGACGCAUCCCCACUCCUAUAGCGGUAAACCUUUAGGUAUUCAUCUGAUGUCAUCAAAAUAACGACAUAGGGUAUUAAUCCGC